GCUUGUGAAGAAACGGGUUGGCCCGUCCCGUCCCGUGAAACCCGCGGGUAACCCGGCUCAGUUCACUAGGCCGCGUGUCACACAAACACAAUGACACGAAAACCACUAAAAACAAAAACCCUCUUCACCAGAAAAAGAAAACAAAAACUCUCUAACCCUGCAACCCAGAAGCAAUCUCUCGAUCUCUAAAUCUCUCAAAAGAUAACCCAUAAUCAGAAAACCCUAACUCAGAAGCAAUCUCUCAAUCUAUUCAGCAGAAACUCAAAGGAUUAAUCUCUCGAACUCAAUCAGAUCUCACCAAGGGGCAUAACUGCAAUAAUGAAGACUAGCAAGGAAGCAGUAAAGAAGAAGCCGGUCAAGCAGUUGGAAAUAAAGAUGAAAAACAAAGAGAAGACUGAUGAAGCAUCCCUGAUAAAUAACAAGUCCAAAACUGAUAAUGCUGAAGCAGCUGAACCAUCUUCUAAUAUAAUUGCAAAGUAGUUUAGUUUUGCAAUUUUGAGUUUUUGAAUCGAAAUCAAAUGAAUUAGAUGAAAUGAUGAAUGUUAAAUUAAGUACUUAGGUUGGGAA